AACGAACGCUGGCGGCAUGCCUAACACAUGCAAGUCGAACGAGACCUUCGGGUCUAGUGGCGCACGGGUGCGUAACGCGUGGGAACCUGCCCUUAGGUUCGGAAUAACUCCCCGACAGGGGUGCUAAUACCGGAUAAUGUCUUCGGACCAAAGAUUUAUCGCCUUUGGAUGGUCCCGCGUUGGAUUAGCUAGUUGGUAGGGUAAAAGCCUACCACGGCGACGAUCCAUAGCUGGUCUGAGAGGAUGAUCAGCCACACUGGGACUGGGACACGGCCCAGACUCCUACGGGAGGCAGCAGUGGGGAAUAUUGGACAAUGGGCGAAAGCAUGAUCCAGCAAGGCCGCGUGAGUGAUGAAGGCCUUAGGGUUGUAAAGCUCUUUUACCCGGGAUGAUAAUGACAGUACCGGGAGAAUAAGCUCCGGCUAACUCCGUG
rnacentral:rRNA from 1 species